rnacentral:rRNA from 1 species
GAUGAACGCUGGCGGCGUGCCUAAUACAUGCAAGUCGAGCGAACGGACGAGAAGCUUGCUUCUCUGAUGUUAACGGCGGACGGGUGAGUAACACGUGGAUAACCUACCUAUAAGACUGGGAUAACUUCGGGAAACCGGAGCUAAUACCGGAUAAUAUUUUGAACCGCAUGGUUCAAAAGUAAAAGACGGUCUUGCUGUCACUUAUAGAUGGAUCCGCGCUGCAUUAGCUAGUUGGUAAGGUAACGGCUUACCAAGGCAACGAUGCAUAGCCGACCUGAGAGGGUGAUCGGCCACACUGGAACUGAGACACGGUCCAGACUCCUACGGGAGGCAGCAGUAGGGAAUCUUCCGCAAUGGGCGAAAGCCUGACGGAGCAACGCCGCGUGAGUGAUGAAGGUCUUCGGAUCGUAAAACUCUGUUAUUAGGGAAGAACAUAUGUGUAAGCAACUGUGCACAUCUUGACGGUACCUAAUCAGAAAGCCACGGCUAACUACGUG